CCACAGUUUCACUUUUGGUAUCUGAUACUUUCAGUGAAACUGACCAUCCUCACUCUUAUUUGGUCAUUUGGAGAAGCAAACUUUGUACUGUACUGUGAAGCAUUACCUAAAUUGAUACCUUUUGUUGUUGGCUAACUAUCUCCAUUUGGCUCCCCAUCCACUUAAGACAUUGGAAAACCUACCCCACAGAUAGCUGAGCAAUUUCACAGAGGCAACUUUGUAGUUCACAAACCGGAGAAAGCGUACUCAACUCUGCCUCUUGAUCAAGUGCAUGAGCAGGCAAAUGACGUUAUUAAGGGUGAUGGAGGAGCAACUGCAGUAACUGAGAGUCCAUCAGCACUGAGGUGGUGGAUGAUUGCUGGACCCAAGUGUUGUCUAGUGCGGGGAUUCUCAACAUUGGGUCCCUAGAUGUUACUGGACUUCAACUCCCAUAAGCCCCUGCCCCAGUGGCCUUUGGUUGGGGAUUGUGGAAGUUUAAGUCCACCAACAUCUGGGGACCCAAGGUUGAGAAUUCCUGGUCGAGUGAAUGACUAUGAGAAAGUUUCAGGUAUCAAAGAUUUUAGAAAAAAAGUAAUCACCACAAACAGUGUGGAUGAGCUCAACAAAUAUUAUUUCAUGGAUGAGCUCACCAAUGUCAUACUGGAAAUGGGGCAGCCUUUUACAGAAUGAUCAUUAGACCACCCUGUUCCACACGAGAGAUAUUGCAGUUGUGCUGACAUGAUUUUUUCACGCUAUGACAGAGGUAUAGAACAGCUCCAGUUAUUCAUGGUGAGACUAGAAAAUUAAGAAGAAAACUUCUUAUUUUGACUUAUUAAGAAAAACAAGUUGUGUUCCUUCAAACCGCAGGUUUGUUUGUUUGUUUGUUUAUCAAUCAUAUUUUUAUACUGCCUGAUAUGUACAAUCUCUAGACGGUAUACAGGUUGCUGCUCCACAGGCUCCAAUGAAGGAAGAUCGCAGCCUUUUCUCAUGACUAUCUCCUUUCAGAACAGUCAGUUGGAUUUGCAGGCAUUUUCGAAGUAUGAAAAGCAGUCUUCUCCAUCAUCACUAAGUGACAAUGGAAAGCUUCACACAUGUGGGAAGUCUCAAUUGAUCUAACUUCUUGAAGUUGAUAUAACUGUGCUGCAAGAAGAACUAGCAGCAGAUAUCAUCCUAGCAGAUAGGUCUGCUGUGGUCAGUACCUCAGAACCACAGAAAAUGGGAACUACUUCUGAUUGAUAUGCAGAGGGUGUGUUUCUUCAUACCAUGCAGAUAUAAUGUAGAAAGUACAAGAGAUGUGAUACAGUUUUUGAUGUUUACUUGCAGGCCAGCCUGAAAGCAGAGACUAGGUGUCAUUGGGGCAAAGGAUCAAGGAGAAGGAAGCAACACAACACCAAAUGAUUGGAAAAGCUUCUUAAGAAAUUCUAGCAACAAGAAAGCCAUUGGUGCUGAUGGAGGAGAAAGUCACAGCAGUAGCAGCUCUGGUGGUAACUCCUUGCAAACACACACUGUGAACGUUUGGCUUCCUGUAGCAUAGAUCCUACAGUUACGUGGAUGUGCUCAGUGAUGGACAAGUAUGGAGCACUUUGCUGCAUACAUCCACCAGCUGUCCUCUGUGGCGGAAGGAGCAGCAGCAGGCCCUUAAGAUGCUGCAGACUGUAGCCAAAUCAGAACAGCAGCAUCGGCAGCAGCACCACCUGGCUUUCUCCAAGGCAACAGCAGGAACCUGAAUUCUCCUUUAUUGUUAUUUUGCUUCUGCUUCUGCAGUUACAAUCCAGCUAUCAAUCUCCAAAUGAACCACCAGCCUUGAGGGAGGAAACAAAGCAUCAUCCCAUUCUUGUGGCCAAGCACACUGCCAGAGUCUACCUUGCUUGCAGGAGACUCUAGAACACCGCAGAGAAGAGAUUGUCCCCCUCCCCCAAGGAAUGUUUUUAACAAAAGAAGAUAAAGCAUAUUUGUACAAUUUUCAUUUCAGAUAAUUUCUGAAUUACGUAUUUUUCUAUGUUUUAAAAAAUUAUUCAUCUUUUUUGUAUUAAAAAUAAAUUGUGUGUUUAUUUCCCCCAUUUAA